GUGCCUAUCGAUUUUGUAUGGAUUUAGGCCUAACCCACUUACAUAGACUUUUGCUCACAAAGUCAAAGAAUACUAAACUUACAACAUUCUGUGAUGCUAAUUAGGGAGACGGCACACAAAACUGAAAAUCAUCAUGAGCCUACAACGUUUAGUAGAUGAUAUAUUGUUUCAGAUUCUCUCUUUUCUCCCAAUCAAAACCGUUUUCAUUACAACCGUUCUUUCCAAGUGCUGGAUCCCACUCUUCUUUUGAAAAUCAAAAAGAUUUCAUAAUUUUUCUUUCCGAGGAGUCACAAACAAAUUGAAAAUGCUCUAGUGUCUAGAAAUCUUCAAAAUAUCAAGGUACUAUUAGAUUUUGAUAUUAGACCUCUCAUCUUUACAAAACUGGCCUCUAAGAUGAGCGAUGCCACUCUUUAUAUACUUAUUUCAGGCCUUAUAUCUAUUUAAUGUGACACUAGUUGGGUUUUUCUCAAUAGGUGCCUUUCCUCUGAUCAUGCAAUUCUUCUCUUGUUUAUAUUUACAAUUCCUCGCCUUUUCAAUAUUCUUUAUCUUGUAUAUCUUUUUAUACACCUUUUUCCUGUCGAUAACUAUCUUGUAUAACUUUUAUGUUAUUGAUUUUAAACUUUCAUGUGCUAUAAUAAAAAUCAUUUUUGUGCUAGCAUUGAGUUUUAUAGUGAUGCUUCAUUUAAAGUGUUUAAUUAAAUUGAUAACUGUACAUGAGACGACUGACUCAACUGGUUCUUGUGUCAAUAUGGACAGAAAUCCGGAUUCUCCGUGAUACAGCUAAAGAUGAUGUAUUUUUCUCUUCAUUCCUUCUAUGACGCUUCAAUUCAAUUGUUAGAAUAUAGAAAAUAUUAUAUUAUUUGUUGAGAAAAUAUCUC
rnacentral:lncRNA from 1 species